rnacentral:rRNA from 1 species
AAUAGAUACCCCGGUAGUCCACGCCGUAAACGAUGAGUGCUAAGUGUUAGAGGGUUUCCGCCCUUUAGUGCUGCAGCUAAACGCAUUAAGCACUCCGCCUGGGGAGUACGGCCGCAAGGCUGAAACUCAAAGGAAUUGACGGGGGCCCGCACAAGCGGUGGAGCAUGUGGUUUAAUUCGAAGCAACGCGAAGAACCUUACCAGGUCUUGACAUCCUCUGCCAACCCUAGAGAUAGGGCGUUCCCCCUCGGGGGACAGAGUGACAGGUGGUGCAUGGUUGUCGUCAGCUCGUGUCGUGAGAUGUUGGGUUAAGUCCCGCAACGAGCGCAACCCUUGAUCUUAGUUGCCAGCAUUCAGUUGGGCACUCUAAGGUGACUGCCGGUGACAAACCGGAGGAAGGUGGGGAUGACGUCAAAUCAUCAUGCCCCUUAUGACCUGGGCUACACACGUGCUACAAUGGAUGGUACAAAGAGCUGCGAACCCGCGAGGGUAAGCGAAUCUCAUAAAGCCAUUCUCAGUUCGGA